ACAGCUGGCAUUCAGCCUCCAGAGCACCAGCACUGGCACUGGCACUGGCACACGCUAUGGCAAAUGAAGUGCAAGACCUGCUCUCCCCUCGGAAAGGGGGACAUCCUCCUGCAGUAAAAGCUGGAGGAAUGAGAAUUUCCAAAAAACAAGAAAUUGGCACCUUGGAAAGACAUACCAAAAAAACAGGAUUCGAGAAAACAAGUGCCAUUGCAAAUGUUGCCAAAAUACAGACACUGGAUGCCCUGAAUGACGCACUGGAGAAGAGUUUCGCUCUUUUUGCCCAGGCUGGAAAGCAAUGGAGCGAUCUCAGCUCACUGCAACCUCCACCUCCCGGGUUCAAGUGGUUCUCCUGCCUCAGCCUCCCGAGUAGCUGGGAUUACAGCUCAACUAUAAAUUUCCAGCAACAGUGCACAUGGCGCAUCAAAAACCCACACCUGCUCUGGAAAAGGUUGUUCCACUGAAAAGGAUCUACAUUAUUCAGCAGCCUCGAAAAUGUUAAGCCUGGAUUUAAAACACAGCCGUCUGGCCAGCUGCCUCGAAUAUCUGACAGCUUAGCAAAAAGGGCCAAAGCUUUCCAUAGGCGUGCUGCACUUGCUUGGUAAAUUAAGCAGCUUUUGUAUCUUCCCCUUUGACUUUAGGUAAUAAAGCAUCCAAACUUGUAAAUCUGACAC
rnacentral:lncRNA from 1 species